GCCAGCGGUGACAGCACGUCAAAUGUCAAAUGAACAAGUUCCCAAAAGAUUACUGAAGUUAAGAUACGUUGUGCGUGGUUGGAUUCUGGAUGGGUGACCCCCUGGACAAUCGUGUGCUGCUGGCU
rnacentral:rRNA from 1 species